rnacentral:rRNA from 1 species
UAGCUUGCUAUCAAUGCUGACGAGCGGCGGACGGGUGAGUAAUGCCUGGGAAUAUGCCCUGAUGUGGGGGAUAACUAUUGGAAACGAUAGCUAAUACCGCAUAAUCUCUUCGGAGCAAAGAGGGGGACCUUCGGGCCUCUCGCGUCAGGAUUAGCCCAGGUGGGAUUAGCUUGUUGGUGGGGUAAUGGCUCACCAAGGCAACGAUCCCUAGCUGGUCUGAGAGGAUGAUCAGCCACACUGGAACUGAGACACGGUCCAGACUCCUACGGGAGGCAGCAGUGGGGAAUAUUGCACAAUGGGGGAAACCCUGAUGCAGCCAUGCCGCGUGUAUGAAGAAGGCCUUCGGGUUGUAAAGUACUUUCAGUUGUGAGGAAGGCGUUGAUGUUAAUAGCUUCAGCGUUUGACGUUAGCAACAGAAGAAGCACCGGCUAACUCCGUGCCAGCAGCCGCGGUAAUACGGAGGGUGCGAGCGUUAAUCGGAAUUACUGGGCGUAAAGCGCAUGCAG